AAAGGGGCUUCGGCCCUGAGUAGAGUGGCGAACGGGUGAGUAACACGUGGGUGACCUACCUUCGAAUGGGGGAUAACGUCCCGAAAGGGACGCUAAUACCGCAUAACAUCCUGCUUUUGAAGAGGUGGAGAUCAAAGCUGGGGAUCGCAAGACCUGGCGUUUGAAGAGGGGCCCGCGUCUGAUUAGCUAGUUGGUGAGGUAACGGCUCACCAAGGCAACGAUCAGUAUCCGGCCUGAGAGGGCGGACGGACACACUGGGACUGAGACACGGCCCAGACUCCUACGGGAGGCAGCAGUGGGGAAUUGUUCGCAAUGGGCGCAAGCCUGACGACGCAACGCCGCGUGGAGGAUGAAGGUCUUCGGAUUGUAAACUCCUGUUGCCCGGGACGAAAUGCUUCGACCUAACACGUCGAAGUUUGACGGUACCGGGUGAGGAAGCCCCGGCUAACUCUGUGCCAGCAGCCGCGGUAAUACAGAGGGGGCAAGCGUUGUUCGGAAUUACUGGGCGUAAAGGGCGCGUAGGCGGCCUUCUAAGUCGAACGUGAAAUCCCCGGGCUCAACCCGGGAACUGCGUCCGAUACUGGAAGGCUUGAAUCCGGGAGAGGGAUGCGGAAUUCCAGGUGUAGCGGUGAAAUGCGUAGAUAUCUGGAGGAACACCGGUGGCGAAGGCGGCAUCCUGGACCGGCAUUGACGCUGAGGCGCGAAAGCCAGGGGAGCAAACGGGAUUAGAUACCCCGGUAGUCCUGGCCCUAAACGAUGAAUGCUUGGUGUGGCGGGUAUCGAUCCCUGCCGUGCCGAAGCUAACGCAUUAAGCAUUCCGCCUGGGGAGUACGGUCGCAAGGCUGAAACUC
rnacentral:rRNA from 1 species